UACGGAGGGGGCUAGCGUUGUUCGGAAUUACUGGGCGUAAAGCGCGCGCAGGCGGUCUUCCAAGUCAGUGGUGAAAGCCCGGAGCUCAACUCCGGAACUGCCAUUGAAACUGUUAGACUUGAGGACGAGAGAGGUGAGUGGAAUUCCCAGUGUAGAGGUGAAAUUCGUAGAUAUUGGGAAGAACACCAGUGGCGAAGGCGACUCACUGGACACGUAUUGACGCUGAGGUGCGAAAGCGUGGGGAGCAAACAGG
rnacentral:rRNA from 1 species